GAUGUAGAUGUAGAUAUUAGUCAUUACUACUGCUCGCAUUCAUGGAGUGAUUACACUGAUGCCGACUGAAAAUGGCAGAAGGAGGCAUGGAUCGAGCCACAUCACAGACUGAAAGCGUUCCAGGACACAGCAGCCUGUACAGUCGUCACUCUCAGAGUAUUGCCCGGGGCGGGAAAAACCGGGUUUUCCCAACGGGUUUUCCCGGGGGCGGGUUUUUCGUGCCAACCCUGCUCCUAGCAGCCAGUGCAACCUUCACGUAUGGAAUCAUGUCGAAAAUAUGUCCAUGGAAAUAUGUACUAUAAUGACCCGGCUGGGAUACGGCGAGGAGAUGAGAAGAUGGCGGGUUGAGAAAUACAGGGAGUUGGAUAGGCUGGUAGAUACACGAUCAAGUCAUGGCAUUCUAAUUACAGCAGGAAGCAAGGCAGAGGGACUGACCUGCUAUUUGGAAAGCGACUGGGACAUGUUGCACGUGGUGAUUGGUGUCCUCUGUGUGGAAGCUGGUAUCAACCUUCACACCAUACCUGACGACAUAGACGUGUUUAGGAUGGAUACACGCGUAUAUCCAGGACACUGCAGACUGUUACAAGAGAGACCAGCGCAUACACGUUUUAAACAAAUUCAUAAUUCCCUGUGUGAUAAUGGAUAUGGAGCCGUUCUACUUAGUAGUAGUUUAUUCCUAGACGAGUUUUCGGCAGUAUU